rnacentral:lncRNA from 10 species
GGCGGCUCAGAAGCAGCCUCGACCGCGGAGGCGAAGCCGCCGGGCCUCUGGGCUCAGCACGGAGGGAGCGACGGGGCCUUCGGCCGACACCUCCGGGUCGGAGCUGGACGGGAGAUGUUCCCUUCGGAGAGGCAGCUCCUUCACAUUCUUAACACCUGGCCCCAACUGGGACUUCACUUUGAAAAGAAAACGCAGAGAGAAAGAUGAUGAUGUUGUAAGCCUUAGCAGCCUUGAUCUGAAGAGUCUCGCUCUUUUGCCCAGGCUGGAGUGCAGUGGCGCGAUCUCUGCUCACUGCAAGCUCCGCCUCCCGGGUUCACACCAUUCUCCUGCCUCAGCCUCCCAAGUAGCUGGGAUUACAGGUGCCCGCCACCACGCCCGGCUAAUUUUUUGUAUUUUCAGUAGAGACGGGGUUUCACCGUGUUAGCCAGGAUGGUCUCGAUCUCCUGACCUCGUGAUCCGCCUGCCUCGGCCUCCCAAAGUGCUGGGAUUACAGGCGUGAGCCACCGCGCCCGGCCUUAACUAUAUCUCUUAAGUCUCUUUUAGUUCAUUGGUUUCCCCUCUAACUAUUUUCUUGGAAUUUUUUGUUGUUGAAGAAACAUGUCAUGCAGGAUUUUCCUAUAGAUCUUUUUAUAGCCUGAAUAUUUAUGAUUGCAUCCCCAUGGUAUCAUUGACUAUGUUCCUCUAUUCCCUGUAUUUCUGACAAGUUGGUAAUUAGAUCUAGAGAGCUGAUCCAGUGUGGGUUUUUUGGGCCAUGUACUUACCUCAAAAAGUAUGUAAUGCCUUUCUGUGAUGCUCUCAAAAUGGAUGCUCAUUGCCUACAUGCAUUUUUUUCUUGGUGGUUGCAAAGUGAUGACAUGUCUUUAUCAGACCUCUGUUUAUUAACUGGAAUACAUCUGUAAAGAGAAAAUUCACCUUGUCGGCCAUUUGAUUACUCUGAAGUUCUGAUUUAUAAUAAAAGCAGAACAAGUG